GUGGUCUGUUUUAGCUUACUUUGUGUUUCAUACAACUAAUACAUUCCAGAAACAUUUAAUUGAUAAUCAUUGUAAUAAGUCAUCUAAACAAACCUCUCCCAGCAGCAGGUCCGUUUAACUUGCUAUAGUAAACACACCGUAUUGUAUGGGUAUCAUACUCUGUCCUCGCUACAUAACAACAUGAAGACCACCUGAACAUAUGGAUGCAUUGGAGCAUGGACCUAAAGAAGAGCGAGCUCUUCUAAGAGAACGAUGUAUUCAAUUGUUGUUUUCAAUGAAAAAAAAUGAGACAGAGGUUAUACCAAGUGACUGGCUGAGCAUCGAUAAAAAAAUGUCCUUUUGGCCCCCAUAUAAUACUACUAAAUGUAGAAAAGCGGUUGAAAAAAAUGAAACCCCUGAUGAAGAAUGGGAAGAAUAUAUAACUGAAUGGGUGGCUGAGUAUGAUUCCUAUGAAAAA